AAUCAACGCUGGCGGCGUGCCUAACACAUGCAAGUCGCACGAGAAAGGGGAGCAAUCCCUGAGUAAAGUGGCGCACGGGUGAGUAACACGUGAAUUAUCUACCUCCGAGUGGGGAAUAACUGAGAGAAAUCUUAGCUAAUACCGCAUAACACUUACGAGUCAAAGCAGCAAUGCGCUUGGAGAGGAGUUCGCGGCCGAUUAGUUAGUUGGCGGGGUAAUGGCCCACCAAGACGAUGAUCGGUAUCCGGCCUGAGAGGGCGCACGGACACACUGGGACUGAGACACGGCCCAGACUCCUACGGGAGGCAGCAGUAGGGAAUCUUCCGCAAUGGACGAAAGUCUGACGGAGCAACGCCGCGUGAGCGAAGAAGGUCUUCGGAUCGUAAAGCUCUGUUGUUAGGGAAGAACAAGUAUCGGA
rnacentral:rRNA from 1 species